GACGAACCGUGCGAACGUUGUUCGGAAUCACUGGGCUUAAAGGGCGCGUAGGCGGGUUCGCAAGUCUGUGGUGAAAGCCUCCAGCUUAACUGGAGAAGUGCCGUGGAUACUGCGAAUCUUGAGGAGGGUAGGGGCGUCUGGAACGGUCGGUGGAGCGGUGAAAUGCGUUGAUAUCGACCGGAACUCCGGUGGCGAAGGCGAGGCGCUGGACCCUUUCUGACGCUGAGGCGCGAAAGCCAGGGGAGCAAACGGG
rnacentral:rRNA from 1 species